AUUUAAUAAUGUGUUCCAGGUAUGAUAAUUUCUUGAGAGGAAAAUAUUGAUUGAAUGAAUAGGAGUUCAGUAAAUAUAUAGACCUUUUCAGCGGCGGGUUUCUUACUAAUUUUUUUUACAGCUCUUUAAUAACCGGGUUAGUCACUCGCUUAAUAUUUUUGUAUUUGAGGAUUUGUGACCAAGGCGUUUCCUAUGCAGAUGCUGUCGACGAUCUCUGAAAGCCUUGCGCUCUUUUUGAAAAUUAAAUAUUAUCUUCAGAAAUCCUUGAAAAGUCUGGCAGUCUGUGGUUUUAAAGUACGCCAUGGAUGUAAGAGGGUUUCCAACUUUUAGCUACUAUAAAUAUUACUUUA